AGUUAACUUCUUGUAAUUUCAGGAUGUUUUGGGAACGAGAAACAAGCACAGAAAAUGGGCUAGGAGGACAGUGGAUGACACCGAUGGGCUGAUCACGGUUCCAGGAUGGUCUCGCCAUGGAGGUGACAGGGUGAAUGCUGCAGUGCAGGACUGGGGGCGCCACAGGAACGGGUGCUCCAGGAAACUGACCAUCAGGCCUCCCGGGUAGUGUGAAGGAACAGAGACUCAGCAGAUCACGGCAUCUGGUCAGUGAGACACCAAACCCUUCACCCAUCAUGAUUGUCUGAUCAGCCACCUGCCUCCUCCUGACCAACUCCUCUUCCUCUCUCCCCCUAAUUCCUGUUUUCCUUACACAUAGUCACAUUUCUUCCCUGCUAUACAGUCAGUCAGGAAAAUGCAUUUGAGGCUGACCUCCCAUCUCCUAGCCUGCAGCUCCUGAUGCACGCCUUCUUCACUGGCAGUAACCAUCGUCUCAGUGACUGGCUUUCUGUGUGCUGAGCAGUAGGAUCUGGAACAAACCCCUGCAUUUUGGAAACAUGGAGAGCAGCCUCAGCAGGCCCCCGGCCCCGAGUGCAGUCAUGACUAUCAAGGACCCACACCAACCCCCAAAGAACACAGUUAUAAACAAGAUGCAUUAAAUAGCAAGAUGGCCGAUGAACAUCAGGAAGGAACAUCCAUGAGGUUCCAUCCACAGAACCUCACCAUGGAUACGCUUGUGAUCAAAGGCCUGGUCUCCCCUCACGACACAGAGCAGAGGCUGCACCAUCAUAGUGGAGCAGGAGCAGCUGGGACAGGGCCCUUCUGUGAACCUGCUGCAUCGCCAGGCUGUGCAAACGGACUCAGCGGCCAGAACUCACAGAGUAUCAGUAUCAGCACCGAAACCUCACAGGAAAAAUGCUGCAUGUUUAGCUCCACAAACUUCAGACUUAAACAGCAUCACUGGCUCCUGACCAGGAUUCCAGCUCCACGAACCUCAAACUACAACACCAGCCUUCCUUCUCCUUAGGUCUCCAGCUCCAAAACCUAAGACAUCAGUGGCAGUACCUACUCUUCCUGGAGGCUCCAGCUCUGACAGCCUCAGACUUGAACCACAGCACCAGCUCUUCCCCGGAUCUCCAGCUCCACCACCCUCAGAUUUAAACAGCAGCAGCACCAGCUCAUCUGUGGGUCUCUAGCUCCAUGACACUCAAACUAGGACAACAUCAGCUCAUCCUCGGGUUGCCAACUGCAUGACAAUCCAACUAGAAACACACCAGCUCCUCCCUGGGUCUCCAGCUCCACAAAUCUCACACUACAAAAGUAACACCAGCUCCUCCUUCGGUCUCCAGCUUUACAACCUAAGACAGUGGCAGCUCCAGCUCCUCCCAGGGGCUCAAGCUCCGAGCCUCUCAGACUUGAACCUCAGCACUAGCUCUUCCCUGGAUCUCCAGCUCGACGACCUUCAGAUUUACACAACAGAAGAACCAGCUCCUCCCUGGGUCUCCAGACAUACGACCCUCAACUAGAACAUCAGCUCUUCCCCAGGUCUCUAGCUAAAGAGCCCACAAACUAGAACAACAACGCUCCCCCCUAUAUCUCCAGAUCAACGAACCUCAACUAGGAAUGCCAACACCGCUCCUCCGCGGGUAUCCAGCUCCACAACCCGCAACUAGAAACACCAACACAAGCUCCUCCGCGGGUCUCCAACUCCACGACCCACAAACUAGAACAACGCUCCCCCCGUAUCUCCAGCUCCACAACCCACAACCAGAAACAUCACCACCAGCUCCUGGGCGGGUCUCCAGUUCCAUGACCCUCAACUAGAAACAACAACUCCGGCUCCUCCGUGGGUCUCCAGCUCCAUGACCCUCAACAAGAAACACCAACUCCGGCUCCUCCGUGGGUCUCCAGCUGCAUGACCCUCAACUAGAAACACCAACACCGCCUCCUCCGCGGGUCUCCAGCUCCACGACCCUGAACCAGAAACACCAACACCGUCUCCUCCGCGGGUCUCCAGCUCCGUGACCCACGAACUAGAAAACAACGCUCCACCCUGUAUCUCUAGCUCCACAACCCUCAACGAGAAACACCACCACCGGCUCCUCCACAGGUCCCCAGCUCCACGACCCACAAACUAGAAAACAAUGCUCCACCCUGUAUCUCCAGCUCCACAACCCUCAAUGAGAAACACCAACAACGGCUCCACCACGGGUCUCCAGCUCCACACCCCUCAACUAGAAACACGAACUCCGGCUCCUCCACGGGUCUCCAGCUCCACAAACCACAAACUAGAAAACAAUGCUGCACCCUGUAUCU